UUUCUUGCAGUCCUGAAGCAUGGAGAAAUGCUCAACUCCUGAUGCAUGGAGAAAAGGCCUUCACAAGCCUCUGCUAAUGUGUACAUAGUUUCAGGGUAGCCCCCAAAAUAUUGGAACAUAUAAAAAAAAAAGACAACUCUGUUCCGCAGAGUAGCUGUUGACAUUAUAGUUUCGCAGGCGCUUUGUUGACUCUAGAGAACCUCAGGCCAAUCGCACAUCCCCAUGACGGUGACUUUGCAUUCGGAUGUCAUCCAUAUCAACUUUCGAUGCUAGUUUCUGCGCCUACCAUGGUGACCACGGGUAACGGGGAAUCAGGGUUCUAUUCCGUACAAGGACCCUGAGAAAUGGCUACCACAUACAAGGAAGGCAGCAGGCGCGCAAAUGACCCACUACCGACGCAGGAAGGUAGUGACGACAAAUAACAAUACAGGACUCUUUAGAGGCCCUGUAAUUGUAAUGAGUCCACUUGAAAACCUUUAACUCUGAUCAAUUGGAGGGAAGUCUGGUGCAGAGCCACUGACCCAUGCGUGCUGUAGCUGAAACUCCACU
rnacentral:rRNA from 1 species